CUUGUCUCAAGACUAAGCCAUGCAUGUCCAAGUAUAAGCGAUCUUAUACGGCGAAACUGCGAAUGGCUCAUUAAAUCAGUUAUAGUUUAUUUGAUGGUCACCGUCCACAUGGAUAACCGUGGUAAUUCUAGAGCUAAUACAUGCGUCGAGUCCCGACUUUYGCGGAAGGGAUGUAUUUAUUAGAUUCAAAACCAAUGCGGGGCUCCGGUCCCGGUCUUUGGUGAUUCAUGGUAACUGUUCGGAGCGCACGGCCCUGGUGCCGGCGCCGGAUCAUUCAAGUUUCUGCCCUAUCAACUGUCGAUGGUAAGGUAUUGGCUUACCAUGGUUGCAACGGGUGACGGAGAAUUAGGGUUCGAUUCCGGAGAGGGAGCCUGAGAAACGGCUACCACAUCCAAGGAAGGCAGCAGGCGCGCAAAUUACCCAAUCCCGACACGGGGAGGUAGUGACAAUAAAUAACAAUACAGGGCUUUUUCAAGUCUUGUAAUUGGAAUGAGAACAAUUUAAAUCCCUUAACGAGGAACAAUUGGAGGGCAAGUCUGGUGCCAGCAGCCGCGGUAAUUCCAGCUCCAAUAGCGUAUAUUAAAGUUGUUGCAGUUAAAAAGCUCGUAGUUGGAUUUCGGCGGCGCGCUCUCGGUCCGCCUGGCGGCGUGUCACUGGGAGCGCGCGGCUUUCUCGGCAGGGCCGCGCGUGCUCUUAGUUGAGCGUGCGCGGGACUGUCGACGUUUACUUUGAAAAAAUCAGAGUGUUCAAAGCAGGCCGUUGGCUUGGAUACAUUAGCAUGGAAUAAUGGAAUAGGACGUCGGUCCUAUUUUGUUGGUUUCUGGGACCGAGGUAAUGAUUAAUAGGGACAGUUGGGGGCAUUCGUAUUCAAUUGUCAGAGGUGAAAUUCUUGGAUUUAUGGAAGACGAACGCAUGCGAAAGCAUUUGCCAAGGAUGUUUUCGUUAAUCAAGAACGAAAGUUGGA
rnacentral:rRNA from 1 species